GACACAGUGGCAUAAUGGUUAGUGCGCUGGACUUCGGAUCAAGUGGUUCAGGUUCAAGCUCUGGCCUGGGUCA